CAAAGGAAUUGGCGGGGAGGCACACAACCAGUGGAACAUGUGGUUCAAUUCGAGACGAACCGAAGCACCUCACCAGGGUUUGACAUGCUAUCGUGUACCCGGAAGGAAACUUUUGGGGAUCCGCAAGGAUGGUAGCACAAGGUGCUGCAUGGCUGUCGUCAGCUCGUUCCGUGAGGAGUGCCCUUAAGUGGGACAACGAGCGCAACCCCUAUCCUGUGUUAGAAAUGUCACAGGAGACAGCCCCGACUUAGUCGGGAAGGAAGGCGGGGUAGACGUCAAGUCAGCAUGGUCCUUAUGCCCUGGGCGACACACAUGUUACAAUGGGAAGAACAAUGGGCUUUGCCACACUGUAAGGUGGAGCUAAUCCCUAAAUCUUCCCUCGGUGGGGAUUGAGGUCUGCAACUCGACCUCAUGAACGCGGAAUUGGUAGUAAUCGCGGAUCAGCCAUGCCGCGGUGAAUACGUUCUUGCCUCUUGCACACACCGCCCGUCAAGCCAACAAAGUCGAGGAUGAUUGAACUCCGACGUAACCUCGGAGGAGAUCAUCGUCGGCGAUGGGGGUUAAGUCGUAACAAGGUAGC
rnacentral:rRNA from 1 species